rnacentral:rRNA from 1 species
GAUGAACGCUGGCGGCGUGCCUAAUACAUGCAAGUCGAGCGAACAGAUGAGGAGCUUGCUCCUCUGACGUUAGCGGCGGACGGGUGAGUAACACGUGGAUAACCUACCUAUAAGACUGGGAUAACUUCGGGAAACCGGAGCUAAUACCGGAUAAUAUAUUGAACCGCAUGGUUCAAUAGUGAAAGACGGUUUUGCUGUCACUUAUAGAUGGAUCCGCGCCGCAUUAGCUAGUUGGUAAGGUAACGGCUUACCAAGGCAACGAUGCGUAGCCGACCUGAGAGGGUGAUCGGCCACACUGGAACUGAGACACGGUCCAGACUCCUACGGGAGGCAGCAGUAGGGAAUCUUCCGCAAUGGGCGAAAGCUUGACGGAGCAACGCCGCGUGAGUGAUGAAGGUCUUCGGAUCGUAAAACUCUGUUAUUAGGGAAGAACAAAUGUGUAAGUAACUAUGCACGUCUUGACGGUACCUAAUCAGAAAGCCACGGCGAACUACGU